AGUGAACGCUGGCGGUAGGCCUAACACAUGCAAGUCGAACGGCAGCACAGUAAGAGCUUGCUCUUACGGGUGGCGAGUGGCGGACGGGUGAGGAAUACAUCGGAAUCUACUUUUUCGUGGGGGAUAACGUAGGGAAACUUACGCUAAUACCGCAUACGACCUACGGGUGAAAGCAGGGGAUCUUCGGACCUUGCGCGAUUGAAUGAGCCGAUGUCGGAGUAGCUAGUUGGCGGGGUAAAGGCCCACCAAGGCGACGAUCCGUAGCUGGUCUGAGAGGAUGAUCAGCCACACGGGAACUGAGACACGGUCCAGACUCCUACGGGAGGCAGCAGUGGGGAAUAUUGGACAAUGGGCGCAAGCCUGAUCCAGCCAUACCGCGUGGGUGAAGAAGGCCUUCGGGUUGUAAAGCCCUUUUGUUGGGAAAGAAAGGCAGCAGGUUAAUACCACGCUGUUCUGACGGUACCCAAAGAAUAAGCACCGGCUAACUUCGUG
rnacentral:rRNA from 1 species